rnacentral:rRNA from 1 species
CAGUCGCCACGGUAAUACAGAGGGUGCGAGCGUUAAUCGGAUUUACUGGGCGUAAAGCGCACGUAGGCGGACUUUUAAGUCAGGGGUGAAAUCCCGGGGCUCAACCCCGGAACUGCCUUUGAUACUGGAAGUCUUGAGUAUGGUAGAGGUGAGUGGAAUUCCGAGUGUAGAGGUGAAAUUCGUAGAUAUUCGGAGGAACACCAGUGGCGAAGGCGGCUCACUGGACCAUUACUGACGCUGAGGUGCGAAAGCGUGGGGAGCAAACAGGAUUAGAUACCCCUGUAGUCCCUGUCUCUUAUAC